GUAGUUAAUAUAGAGCUCUGUAUGCACAACAAAGAAAUAUUGAUCAGGUCUCUCUAUGCUAUGCUUGAGUAUCUGUAGUGACAAUGGAUAGUGCAGCAAAUAGGGAUGGCAGAACAAAAAACAUUGUGUCUCAAGGUCAAGGGCAUGGUGGGACAGGCCAUGUAGCUUCAGUGCUAAGCAGCAUCAGUGUGGAAACAAUUCAGCUCCCACUCUCAAGCAUUUUCCCCCAAGACAGUAAAUCCAAGUGACGUGAAAGACACCUUGUUCAUGUCAUGAAUGUGUCUCGGAUGUAGUAGCUAUAGUGUUAAAAUCAGAGGCUUACUAAAGACAAGCUAGAGCAGAUUGGCUUCUCCAAAGAGUCCCCACAUUUGGUGACUCCAGACACUAAAAUAAAAUCAAGUAGUUUAGGCUUUGGUCAGUCCAGGUCAGGUAUACUUUGUGUGAGACAUUAAGCAGUUUUAGGAGUUACCAGAGCGCUUCAAAGGGAGUUGUAAAAUGGGUUUUGUGCUGCAUCACACUGCACUGUCUACAGUAGUUAUAUUUCAGCUUGAAUGGGCUAUUAUAUAUUUUGACAGGCUGUUUUAUUCUAAAUAUGUGGUUUCUUUAUGGAAUUUUUAAAUUCUCUUUUUAAAAAAAAUGAAACAUACAUAUCUUAGAUGCUAGUUGUUACAUAAUCAAGAAGUAAUGACUGCUAAAGUUAACUUUUUUUAAACUUGACUGAACUUGUGUUUCUUAAAAUUUACUGUCAAAGGCAUCCAGGAUCUUGUAUUCUUUGGCUGGAAUUUUUAUGAUCUACAUAAAUUGACAAUUUAUGUUUUAAAGUUAAUAUUUAGCUAUUUAAAUAAGCGCUCUCACUUAUUUUCUCUCAGCAGUUCCCAUUAGUCAAUGGGUGCUCAGCACUUCUGAAAAAUGAGGACAUUUUAUUUAGAAGCCUAACUUUAGGGUUUGAUUUUAUGACUGUGAUUUUUAACAAUAAAAUAGCCUACAGUCAUCACAUGAGAUCAUAAUAAUUCACAACUAUUUUUAUUAACUAACAACUGACAAAGGGCCCCCUAAGUUGUCUGCAAGUGCAACAUAUCUAACUGUUCCUUCCAGUCAAUUUCACUUAACAAUGGAUGCUUUAUUUUUGGUUUUCUGCUGGAGGGAAGGAGUUGUAUGCUAACGGAUCUGCUAAUUUCCCUCAAAUCUUUCCAACUCUAGUUGUAGGUGGAAAACUCUAUUACGUAAAGUAACAGAGCUGCAAUGGUAAUGUGGUUCCCUGCUACUUCCCACCCCAUCGUUGUCCCCCCUACUCCUACAGUUCUCUCCCUACUGUUGGCUUUGGCCUAGUCUACACUUAAACCAUAGGUUGACCUAGCUAUGUUGCUCAUGGCUAUGAAAAAUUUUGCACUCUGAGUACCGUAGUUAAGUCUAACUGACCCUUGCUGUAGACAGGACUAAGUCAACGGCAUUUAAGGAGCCUUCCAUUGACCUAGUUACCACCUCACAGAGAGAUGGAUCAACUACAUCGAAGGAAAAACACCUUCUGUUGACAUAGGAAACAUCCAUGCUACGGCAGCACAGCUAUGGCACUAUAGCUGUACAGCUGUAGUGUAGACAUAGCUUUCAUCACAACAUCCCCAUGAUGAUCCCUAUGUAAUUCCUCAUUAUCUUCCCUGAAUUAUUUUUAAGGGCCCAAUCUUGUAAAUUCUAUUUCUAGUGACUUUCAUGGGAGCCUUGACUGCUGAGUAUUCUCGCUGACUGCAUCCUGUCCUAUGACUAGUGUCCUUGUCCUUCAUAGCUAUGCUAAUUCAGUAUAUUACUGUCCCUUAUAAUCCUUUAUUAUUGCACACUGAAGCAUGAUCUUCAACCUCACUCCAUCAUUUUGCCACUGACACCUGUUUUGCCAUCCUCAGUGUAAUCUAUCAGUGUUGUCAGUGUCAUCAUCCUGAACAGUAUUUAUUGCAGCAUGCUUUUGUCUCAUCGCUGUGAUUAUGUGAGCUUCAGUGAUUGUACUACAUCUAUCACCUCAUUACUGAAAUAAAGUUAACGUUAAUGGGAGUCAUGCGGCUAACCCCCUGCUCA